UACCCAAUAACUAAUUUACUACAUAUUUAAUGCUCUUGUUAAUUACCUUUAAAUUAAUUUUAAUUAUUACUCUUAAAUAUUCAUAAAUUUUUUUGUAUUUAAAUAUAAUUUAAUAUUGUCCAAUCUAAUAUUGUACCAAACAUAGUACAAUAUAUAAUACAAUUCAACUUAAUUCAAUCCAACUUAAUUUUAUUCAAUCCUAAUAAUUAGGGGUGGGCAAAUUACCUGAUCCGACCCGAAAAAUUUCAGGUUCAAAUCAGAUCGGGUUGCAAAGAAAACUCGAUCAUAUGAAAAUGAUAAAACCCGAUCGGGUUUCUUAAAAAAAAAAAACUAAACCUAAACACAUGCACGCCACACAUAAAUUACUUAUUCACAUUUCACAAUACACACACAAGACACAAACAUAACUCAGUGAACUCACAACCCUCCCUAUUACACAAAAUCCAUACACAGUCACUCACACCCAACGCUAAUUCACCAACGGAGGCCACAAAAGCCACAGCCUCACCCUCACCCUCAACAAGCGUUCGAUUUGCCACGUGUCUCCAGUCCACGAUCUGCUGCUGCGCAUCUCCAGUCCACGAUCUACUGCUGCGCAUCUGCCAGUCCACAAACUGGUCCUCGAUCUGUUGUUGCGCAUCCACCCGUUUGCUGUUGCACGUCCAUGGCCACCGAAUUGCUGCCAAGUGCAACCAAUUUGCUGCCGACCCAAACCCGAUCUGCAUUCUGCUGCUUCAAGUCUCCAACCCGACCCGAGUUCCUCCCAUUUAAGACUUUGAGAUUGAGGAAGAAUACCAGCUUCAACUUAUGUUAUGUUUACCCAGGACGGUGCGGUAGGGAGACAAUGGAUGGCGUCCAUGGGAAUUGCAGACCCAGCGGCAAAAGACCCAUUGAAUUUUGAAGUUUUAAUGAUAUACAACUAUAUAUAUAUAUAUGAUAACUAUAUUGCAACCAAUCAGAUCCUAUAUAACCCAAACCCGAUCCCACCUGAAUUCAACCCGAACUUACGACUUGAUCCGAUCCGAUCCGAUUUAAAUUCAGAUCGGAUCGGGCCAGGUUGUAAGUUCGGGUUGUAUUUGGAUUAAUUUUUACCCAACCCAAACAAUCUGAAAUCCGAUCGGAUUGACCCGAACCCGAUUUUGCCCAUCCCUACUAAUAAUUAGUCUAAUCUAAUCUUGCGUGACAACAUAUCCUAAAUUUUUUUUACCCUUUCACAUAUUGCUUUUCACCUGAACUUCAAAAUCACCAUCCCUCAAUCGCGCACCUUCACUGAUCUAAUCCAUCGCCAAUAACCAUGUUUCAUACUUCUCUGUUGUCGUCAAUCAAUUUCACAGAAGCCAGUGAUCAAAUCCGACCUUCAAUCACUUCCAUCGAUGGAAGGCAUUACAUGAACCACCCCCAUUCGCGAAGCUCUACCAGAAAAUUAGGGUGCGUUUGAGAUUGAGGUUGGGCAACUGUAGCUUAAAAGGUACAGUACUAAAGUAUUUGAUAAAUACUAACUACUGUACCUUAUAAGUUAUAUUGACAUAAUUUUUCACUUAU
rnacentral:lncRNA from 1 species